UAAGGAAACAUACGGAAGGUCGACACAUCGUUUGCGCUUUGUUCAGUUUUGAGGGUUUACUUUAAAACUUGGUUCUUUGAAAACUGGAUAGAAAAACAACAAUCAACACCAACCGAGAAUCCGCGUUGAACACGUUUUUUAUAGAAAAACAACAAUCAACACCAACCGAGAAUCCGCGUUGAACACGUUUUUUAACGAAGUUUACGCACAUGUUCGAAGGGCUUUGAUCGCUCAAAGCAAACACCUUCGAGAAACCCUUGACCGCAAGGUCAAGUCA
rnacentral:misc_RNA from 1 species